UACGGAGGGGGCUAGCGUUGUUCGGAAUUACUGGGCGUAAAGCGCGCGUAGGCGGCUUUGUAAGUUAGAGGUGAAAGCCCGGGGCUCAACCCCGGAAUUGCCUUUAAGACUGCAUCGCUUGAAUCCGGGAGAGGUGAGUGGAAUUCCGAGUGUAGAGGUGAAAUUCGUAGAUAUUCGGAAGAACACCAGUGGCGAAGGCGGCUCACUGGACCGGCAUUGACGCUGAUGUGCGAAAGCGUGGGGAGCAAACAGG
rnacentral:rRNA from 1 species